GUUGAGAGUGCUUAAAUACCCUUAAAGCACCAGAUCCUUUAAUCUUGGAAACUAAACAGAGUCAGACCUGGUUAGUAUUUGGAUGGGAGGCCACCAAUGAAUACCAGGUGCUGUCAAUU
rnacentral:rRNA from 1 species